CACACCAACAGUUAGCCGCUGGAUUCAAAGACGUUGCUAUGGAGACGGUUGAAGCAAGCUGGUCAUUCUCUUACAUUUGGAUAUACGAGCCCCUCAAAAAACAGGCCUCAAGGUGCAUGGAGACAAAGUUACACAUAGUAUGAUGUGAUGCAUCUGCUCCCACAAUUAUUUGGCACCGAUGGUCACCGUGGGCAGCGCUCCUUGAUACUGGCGGAGGUUGAUGAAGAACUCAUCCCACUUAUGUGGGGAUAUUUCCAUGAAAAAUAAAAUGUAACCAGUCACUUUGAAGACGUUCUGAUGCUGGGGGACGGUGAAAUGAUUGGUGUGGGUUAAUACACCCAACAACCAAACUGAAGGUAUACCCUUGCAGUUUCAGCAUUGAAUGGUAUUAUUA